rnacentral:lncRNA from 1 species
GAGCCCCGUGAUGAGACCUAUGCCGGUCAGUCCGAGGGUGGUACCCGCCAUGAGCCCACUGGCUAGGAGGGUAGUGGCAAUAGUAGCGGGUACGAGAAUUGGACUAAACAUGAUGAAAAGUGGUGUGGAUACGAUUAAUGCCACGGCUGAACCACCGAGUGCCACACAAGAAAACGCUAAGCAGACUAAGGAGGUCACGGAAGCUAUAAUAAGCUUUAUAACGUUCAGCAAUGAGUGUCAUUUUAGGUUUUCCAAUUUGUUUCAUAGUGUCGUUUUACUAUUCGAAUGCAAAUAUUAAAUAAAAUUUUCAGUUUUUACCCUUAGUGUUAAAUCAUUAAUUAAAAAUCAAACAAAACAAUGUAUUAAAUAUUGGUAGAGGUGGGAAGAGAUGGAUUUUAUAUAUGAAGCUGUACAUGCAAAACAGUGGGUGCAAUUGCAAAUAGAGAUCUACGUUACAUAACGUCACGUCAUGUUCCAUUUUUAUGUGUGUAGUAGUCGUCACGUUUUUUGAGCCUCCAUUUGUUUCUGGUACGAGCUCAAACACGACAAACUGACAUUUUGAGAUUUUUUUUUUUUUUGAAACACAAACUUUCAUUAACUUCAAAUUCAAGGACUACAAAGCCAAGAGGGAAUUAAACAUCCUCUUGAAGAAAAUUCAUAAACUACACUAGUAAAUAGAACCAAGCAAGAUAAAUCUUCAUAUGAAGUUGACAGCGAAUUCAAUACUAAGCUUGAAUGCGUCGAUAAAGCUUUCACGACAAAGUCGGACCGCUGAGAAUUAGUCACAAGUGACGUUGAGAGACAGCCCUCACCAACGAGUAAAACCGAAGUAGUCUCGAUUGCACCUUCAGGCCCCGUACAGACCGCUCCACAAGGUAACAAACCGGUGAGUAAACUGAAACUAAAGCUCGGAAAAGAAUCCGAGAAAUUUUCUCCAUUCAUAGAAAGGAGACAUGGUAAUAAAGUACUCUCCACGACAGAGGAGGAAGUGAGAGUUGUGCGCCGACAACAUGACCUCACUAGCUUUCGAUGGCUCAGAGCUGGACGCCGGAGUGGAUUCCCACCUACAUCGGACGCCAAAUUUACAAAUAGAUGGCUCAAAGCUGGACGCCGGAGUGGAUUCCCACCUACAUCGGACGCCAGAUUUAACAACAGUUGUGAGAUAAGGUAUGUUUGCGGUGGUUGAUGGCAUGGAUCUUCAGGCGGAGGCCAGACAUGGGGGAUGGAAAGGAUGGAGCGGGGGAGAGAGAUGUCGCUAGAGGAUGAUUGUCUUCUCGACCUUUUAAGGAACAGAUUUGGUCGCCGGAGUGGAGUUCCACCUACAUCGGUCGCCGUAUUCGCCGGAUUGACAUAAAUUGUCGAGAGAGGAACAUGUGCAGUGACUCUAGACCCAACUCUGGUGAAAUUCAAACCAUCCAACAAGACAACAAAAACUUCAAGAGUCCUCAGCUUGAGUAAAGUUGAAACGAGGAGGUUGACGAAAUCACACGCAUAAGCCAACAAGGAGUGAGACACCGAGAGAACCAGAAGGUUCUUCAGAUCUACCAAAACGAGCUCGGCUCAAACACGACAAACUGACAUUUUGAGAUUUACAAUUAAAAAUGUUCUUAAAGAAUCUCUAACUAUUAAAGAAAAUGAGAAAGAAUAAAAAUCAACUUUUUAAACAAUCUUUAGAAACUUAUGAAAAGUUAUGGUAACGACUCACCUCAUCUCUAAACUAAUAUCUAAUUAUAUAAUUAAAUUAUUUUUGACCAAAAUAUAAAUUUAUUAUUAUUAUUGUUAUUAUUAUUAUUAUAAGGUGGUAUACCCAAUAGAAUUUAUUUUAGAUUAGAUCCCAAACUUUUUUUUUGAAUAAAAUAGACCAUAAACUUUGUGGAAAUCAUUGAAUACUCAAUAAACAUAUAUCUUACUCUCUUAUUUUUGAUCAACAAACUUCAAACAUAUAUCUUACUAAAAUAUGUAUUUUGGAAAGAACCUCAAAAAAUUGAGUAUAGACAUAUUCCAAUACAUAAUAAAUAGAAUGCAAACAAAAAAUUGAUCGGUUAUUCAUUUCCAAACAAACAUAUUAUUUUCAUAGCAAAUUAUGUGUUCCCUUUGUUUAAUUUUAAUAGGUGUUUAAGAUUAAUGCACAUAGAUUAAGAACUUGUAAAGUUCCAUACAAUUUAUCUUAAUUACACAAAAGAUAGAACUAAAUUACCCAAUAAAAAAUGUAGUAUUAUCAAUUAUGUAAUUGGUCACAAAUCUCAAACAACAUUAAAUUUUUAUCUAGAUUAAUAAGAACAUCACUUAUUUUACAAAAAAAUAAUAAUUAAACAUCAAAUAAAUUAAAAUAGAGGGAGUAUUAUAUAUAAAUGCAUGUUUCAUUGUAAAACUCAUAUAUAUCUUAGCUAUAUAUGUGUGUAUUUUGUAUUGGGUCCGUAUAUCGGCCACUCAUGAUUAGUAUGUGUGAUAUUUAAUAUUGUGUUAGAUACACGAGACAAAUUUAACCUAAGAUGAAUGUGAUGUUAAAAAUAAAAGUUCUAAAAUAUGCUCUAUAUAUAAAUUUGCGUAAAAUGAUCCCCUAAAGCCAAUGCUUUAAAUUUUCUUAAACAAGCACGGCUCGGGUUCAUGUUGCUAAAGUUUCACCAAACCAGUCGAGGGUUAGAGAACCAUCAUCAGUCAUUCCCAUCAUGGUUUUAUAUGUUGAAAUCCUAAAUAUAUAGUAGCUCUAGUUUUGUUUUAAGAGUGUUAUCUUAUCAAAUUCAAACUAGAAUAAUUUGAUUAGACGAUAAUGUUCUUACAAUCUCCGAAUUCGUUAUUUGUACCUUCCAACCAGGGCUAGUUCUUGGCUAAAACCCAUGAAUUUUGAUGUUUUAGACGCCAAAACGUAUUAAUUUAGAGGACAUUAAUUUUCAAUAUUAAUUAUGGUGUCGUUGUUAAUUAUGUUUCAAUUGUUCAAUACGUGCCCGGUUCUAACUAUGUUAAGGGUACAUAAAUAUUUUUGAUCUAAGCACCAUAUAUGAUGGGUGGGGCCUGAUUCAAACUAUAGCACAAGACGUAAACGAUUAUCAUCCAUAUGACUCCUCUUGUUGGGGCUUUAUCUCCCUAGAUUGGAUAUCUGCCGGCUUUGUAUCCUUUGAUUGUAUCCCACCUUUGUAUUAGACCUUGAUGUUUUAUCAAUGAAAGUUCAGUGUGAAAAAAAAAUUAAACCGGGUCCUUUCAAGAAGAAUUGAAAUAACUGUUACCACAUUAUACUAUUUUUAUAUCUUCACUAUACAUUGUAUCAUAAUAGUCUUUUUGUCUUAUCAUAUAAUCAGUUUUAACCAUUACAUGCAUAUUAUAAACAUAAAAGUUUUUUAAAGUUUUUUUUUUCUUAUAAUGCCAUACAAUUCAUAACUAUAAUAGACAUCAUAUGCUAAACAUUGGAAUAGGUCCACCAAUGUCUUUUAUUCUUCCAUGAAUUUACUUUUACUCAUAUGUGUUUACCACCACUCCCAUGUGAACUUCCAUCUGAACUGCUGCCAUCUGAACUGCUGCCAUCUGAACUGCUGCCAUCUGAACUUUCACUUGUACUACUUGCAUCCAUAGCUUGACCUCUAUAAUGGAAUUCUUUUUUAUUCUUGGAUAGACUAUUUUUACCCAUAGAAGAGCCCUCACCCCCGUGUUUACCUUCACUUCCGUGUUUGCCUCCACUUCCGUGCUUACCUCCACCCAUAGCCGAACCUCCACCUUCAUGUCUACCUCCGCUUCCGUGUUUACCUCCACCCAUAGACGCACCUCCACUUUCAUGUUUACCUCCGCUUCCGUGUUUACCUCCACCCAUAGGCGAACCUCCACUUUCAUGUUUACCUCCGCUUCCGUGUUUACCUACACUUUCAUGUUUACCUCCACCCAUAGACGCACCUCCACUUUCAUGUUUACCUCCGCUUCCGUGUUUACCUCCACCCAUAGGCGAACCUCCACUUUCAUGUUUACCUCCGCUUCCGUGUUUACCUCCACCCAUAGGCGAACCUCCGCUUCCAUGCUUACCUCCGUGUUUACCUUCAUCCAUUGACGAACCUUCACUUCCAUGUUUACCUCCCUUUCCGUGUGUACUCUCACCCUUUCCGUGUUUACUCUCGCCCUUUCCGUGUUUACUCUCGCCCUUUCCGUGUUUAUCUUCAUCCGUAGUCGUAUCUUCACCCUUUGAUUUACCUUUACCCUUGGAAGAAUCUUCACUUUUACCUUUAGAUUUUUCUUCCUGUUUAGCUUUGAUCUUAUUCUUAACUUUGCCUAUCGUAUCCUUAAUUUUGUCCUUAAUAUUACUUGGUUUAAUACUCACCGGUAUAAUAUUACUUGGUUUAAUACUCUCUGGUAUAAUAUUACUUGGUUUAAUACUCUCCGGUAUAACAUUACUUGGUUUAAUACUCUCUGGUAUGCCCAACAGAGAUAGGGAUGGCGAAGCUGCCGGAGCCGCCGCAACUUUUUUACUGCCGAGCCCUGCGGCUAGGACAGUAGUGGCUGCAAUAGCAGGUAAGAGAAUCGGACUGAAUAUGAUGAAAAGAGGGGUAGAUACGGCUAAUGCCACGGCUGAACCACUGAGUGUUACACCGGCGAAGCCUAAAUAGACUACGGACGCAACGGAAGCAACAACCAUC